rnacentral:lncRNA from 1 species
CUGGCUCCUGGUGCCUCUCUAUGGAGAGCACCUCUGUGCCUCUCUGAGAGCACUCACAGCCAAAAGUACACAGCUGCCCCCAGGCUGAGAGUGCUUGAUACACCCUUGAAUCCCCUCUUAUAUGAUGCCCCAGCCCAGGAGAGAUAAAAGCAUCAGCACCAUGAGAUUCACCUGCCUCUGGUCGUUAGGUAAGUUCACAGGCACUAGCGUUGAAAGAUUCUAGGACUGAGGGAUGUUAAACUCAAUUAAAUUUACCUGGACGCAGCAAUUGCUUAGCUGGUGGUGUGUCCAAGUUAAGAAACUAAAAUGCUAAUGUGUAGCACCAGUGCCUCUGAUGGCUUAGUGGCUUCUCUGAAAGUGGGUAACCAGAGUAAGAUUUUAUUUUAGCUUACUUUUUAGCUUACUCUAUUUUGUUUAAAAAUGUGGUUUGUGUUUAAUCCUCUGGAAGUCCUCUGUGUCAGCAUGGCUUUUCUUUCCUGCUGUGUGGGACUUUAUACAAGACAUCUCUUGCCAGAUUUUGGAAUUCCCUGGCAAGGAAGAGAGGCAAUUUGAGUAACCUGGCCACAGACAAAUACAUUUCACUUCAGCAAAGCUUUUCAGAUGUCAUUGAAGAUGUGUGAGAAACCAGAUAGAAAGCUAUAGAAAAUGCUCUUUGAAAAAGUAUUCCCUCAUUGACUGCUUAGUGAAGCUCUUGCCAUACGAUCUCCUGAAUGGGAUAGAUAACUUCAGGUCGUUGCUUUGCCAAGGAGAGGUUUGUUAGACCAUAGGGACAGGGCUUGGGUGAUGGUCAACUGUCUCAGUACAGGCUAUGUGGGGCCUCCUUUACAGCUUCAACAAUAAGUAUCAAGGCUAGGGUCAAAAUGUACAUAGUUUGGUUUGCUUGUCUUUUUUUUUUUUUUUUGAAACAGAAUCUCGCUCUGUUGAUCAGGCUGGAGUGCAGUGGUCCGAUCUCGGCUCACUGCAACCUCUGCCUCCUGGGUUCAAGCGAUUCUCCUGCCUCAGACUCCUGAGUGGCUGGGACUACAGGUGCACGCCACCACGCCCGGCUAAUUUUUGUAUUUUUAGCAGAGGCAAGGUUUCACCAUGUUGACCAGGAUGGUCUCGAUCUCCUGACCUCAUCAUCCACCCACCUCGGCCUCCCAAAAGUGCUGGGAUUACAGGCAUGAGCCACUGUGCCCUGCUGCUUGUCCUUUUUAAAAUAAUGCUCAUGUGCCUGUUUGAAAAGUCAAUGCUGGCUUACGUAGUUU